CUUGGUCAUUUAGAGGAAGUAAAAGCCGUAACAAGGUCUCCGUAGGUGAACCUGCGGAGGGAUCAUUACACAAAUAUGAAGGCGGGCUGGAACCUCUCGGGGUUACAGCCUUGCUGAAUUAUUCACCCUUGUCUUUUGCGUACUUCUUGUUUCCUUGGUGGGUUCGCCCACCACUAGGACAAACAUAAACCUUUUGUAAUUGCAAUCAGCGUCAGUAACAAAUUAAUAAUUACAACUUUCAACAACGGAUCUCUUGGUUCUGGCAUCGAUGAAGAACGCAGCGAAAUGCGAUAAGUAGUGUGAAUUGCAGAAUUCAGUGAAUCAUCGAAUCUUUGAACGCACAUUGCGCCCUUUGGUAUUCCAAAGGGCAUGCCUGUUCGAGCGUCAUUUGUACCCUCAAGCUUUGCUUGGUGUUGGGCGUCUUGUCUCUAGCUUUGCUGGAGACUCGCCUUAAAGUAAUUGGCAGCCGGCCUACUGGUUUCGGAGCGCAGCACAAGUCGCACUCUCUAUCAGCAAAGGUCUAGCAUCCAUUAAGCCUUUUUUUCAACUUUUGACCUCGGAUCAGGUAGGGAUACCCGCUGAACUUAAGCAUAUCAAUAAGCGGAGGAAAAGAAACCAACAGGGAUUGCCCUAGUAACGGCGAGUGAAGCGGCAACAGCUCAAAUUUGAAAUCUGGCUCUUUUAGAGUCCGAGUUGUAAUUUGCAGAGGGCGCUUUGGCUUUGGCAGCGG
rnacentral:rRNA from 1 species